rnacentral:misc_RNA from 1 species
AGAAUUGUUACAACAAUCAAAAUCUAAAGUAUAACCCAUCGCAGAGUGGUUAGUAUAUACAGAUAUUUGCAGCUUCUUCCGCUAGCCUGCUGAAAAAACGCAGAAUCUCGACUAACAGGCAAAUAAUAAAACUAAUAAAGAACUUGUAUUGGGGGAAAAAUUAUCUGCUUCUGUAACAUCAAGAAUGGCAACUCCUUGCAAGAAAAUGUGUCCUUUUGUCGUUAAGACUUAAUGGAAUCAUAUUUCUCACCAACUGCGCCACCUUUAUCCUUCUGGAACUGG